UAUUUUCUAUACUCUUACAAAGUAAAAUCCUAUAUCUACAUAUUUAAAGAUACUAAAAUUAACAAAACAAAUUAGAAAUAACCUACAACAGUACUAUAAAAUUGAUGGAUUAUUCUAUUUAUUUUAACAUUUAUAUGAUUUGCAUAUACAAGAUGACCAAAGAAAAUUUAAUAACAAGAUAUAUUCUCAUGAAAAUAGAGUUCUAAUUGAGUGCUAUUGUGAAGGGGUGAAGAAUGUAUGUCUACGCUAAUAUGGCAAUAGGGACUGUUGUAGUUAUAUUGUUUCUAAUUUCUAUUUUGUGGCUAGUAUAUAUUAAACUAAAUUGUAUAUUAAAGUUUGUACCAAUGAAAAAUAUAACUUAUUAUAUUUUAAAAAAGGUAAUCUAUUUACAUACAUAAAAGUGUUAAGUAUAAAUAGAUAGGUGAUCACCACGGUCGCUGUGUCCACCAACUACGUUUCUCUCUGCGUUUGGGGUUAUUUUUCUUCAAAAUAAGAACAUGUUUGUAUUUUUUUUGUUUCGUUAAAGUCUUGUUUUAAGGUGUUGUAAAUGUAGCAAGAGUAUAGGGGAAAAGGACGCUACAAUACCAGAACUUUACAACCAGCCAUUAGUGGUGAAAAGCCUAGUACUGCCAUUCCGGAAACAACAUUAAUUGCAUCAAGACCAGACGCCUCUAGUAUGAAACCAAUGGUAAACUGUUGCUACCAAUGUCCAGGCCAGACGCCGCUAGUAUGAAACACAACUCAUAUAGGUCUGACAUGUGGUGUUGUUGCGAAACGCUAGUUAUGAACAAAUAAUCAGUAUCGUACCUUGAAACCUAAACGCGGGUAAUAUAAGUCUUGUGCCAUUUGACUAGCACUUGCUUUGAUACGUGGGACCUCAUUGUUAGUAAACCUUGGCUAUCAGAUAAUCUCUAGCGUGUUAAAAAUAAUAUAAACAAAACAUUAAUUGAACUAAACCUUAAUUAAAUAUUAAUAUUAAAAUGAUUGGCAUUCAUAUAUUACACAGAUUUGAACAUUACCGUUUAAAUCACAAAAUAACAGCUAACUAAAACUAAUAGGCUCGCCCAGUUUCUGGCUGCCGAGAUGCCUCCGUCGGAGCCACUGCCGUCGGGCCUACGCGUCAUCCUCGGAGAUGUGGAUGACGUCCUCUUGGCCGUAGCCGCAGCCAGAAGCUAGCAGUACAUCGAAUGGAGGAACAACGCGACCAGGAGGUGGCUGGCUUAGCUCCUUAAGUAUUUCCUCCCGCUCGUCGGGAGGAAACAACUUGGUUACGAGGUGAACCUCUUUUGUUUUGAAAAUGAGGAUCACCUCGGCCUUUAUAUCUGAAUGAUGCAUGUAGCCAUAUUAUUAAUCAAAAUGUCUCACAAAUGGUCUAUCAUGCAAUAGUUGUUUCCAAAAGAGCCAAUGUAAAAUGAUAAAUAAAAUUGACACAUCCGACGAAAAUAGAACAAGAUAACUAAACACCUAGUUUAUGUUGCAAAUAUGAACAAUUUAACAAAGGAUUUUAUUAACAAAAAAGGUAGGGAAAACAUGAAUAUGAACAUAGGCGUCGUGACGAGGCGGGCGACGGAGGAGGAGGAGGAGCGUGUAUGUCUCUCUUGUUUUCAAGCUCAUACAUGUGUGGAAACAUCCUCCCUUAUAAGAAGGUCCAACUCCCAUUAAACUAGCAAUGUGGGACUAAACUUUUUCACCUCUUGCCUUGCACGGAUGGGCUGCGUGGACCUCUAGGAUUUAUUAAGAAUUUCUAAAAUUAUUAUUGGGCUGACUCAAAAUAGAUAAAGUUCUAGCAAUUUAUUAUUGCAUCCUCAUUCAAACCGGUUGUAAGUAUCCCAUGUCACAAUCUCUCACCGGUUGCAUCCAAUAGCAAUAUGCUCCUUGGCUUCUGCAUGACUAAGUAACAACCAUACACAGAUCCAAGCGGUAGUUCUGUAAAUAACCUGCACUUUUUUUUGCAAUAGUUUUUUAUUAAAAAUUAUGUCAUUUCUAUGCUUCUAUAUAGCCCAAAUUAAUGCACAUACUCCUACUCAAAUAUGUUCUAC
rnacentral:lncRNA from 1 species